GCUUGGGUGGCUCAGUUGGUUAAGUGCCAGACUUGGGCUCAGGUCAUGAUCUCAUGGUUUGUGGGUUUGAACCCCACGUCAGGCU
rnacentral:tRNA from 1 species